AUGGCCCACGCGUGGUCACUGCCGGCAGUCGUCUCACGGAGCCGACCGCGGUGGUACACGAACCUGUGGAAGGUGGCCGCCGCGGUGGUUGUCCUGCCCUACGCUGCCAAGUUCAGUAUUUUUGCCGCGAUAAGCCAAAAAGAGACUGUGCCCUACACCAACCAGGCCCAUCGUGUCCUCCUGACCUCGUCGGAGCAGCGCGAGUUUGGCGAUGAAGACUUCAACGAUUGGAAGGAGAAGCGCGACAAAUACAUCCUUAGCCCGUCUGACCCGAGGACUGUUCUCGUCCGCCGCAUCGCCUCAGACAUCAUCCACGGAGUCCGCCGCCUCUUCCCCAACAACGGCAUCCAUGACGAUGAUGUUAAGCAGGGGAAGGUGGUCGUGCGGCCACAGACGGGGCAUCUCACUGACCUUAACUGGGAGGUGAUGGUUGUCGAAAAUAACAAAGUAAGGGCUUUCAGCUUGAAGGGCGGGAAGAUUGUAAUCCACACUGGAUACCUCAAGCAUUUGAAGACCGAUGCCGAGAUUGCCACCGUUAUUGGCCAUGAGGCCGCACAUGUUGUUGCAAGGCAUAGCAUGGAGUUGUUGAGGUCAAUUCCGUUCUACAAACUAAUGCCCUUCUCACGAAGGGCCGAAUUGGAGGCGGAUCACAUCGGAUUAAUGAUAAUGGCCGCUGCUGGUCUCAAUCCACGCGUAGCCCCUGAGUUCCGCAAGAAGAUUGGAGAGAUCAUUGGAGACACGAAAUUAAUGGACUACAUCGGUACUCAUCCUUCGUUUCAGACAAGGUCACGGUUGUUAUCGCGAAAGGAGGUCAUGGAGGAGGCGUUUGAGCUGUACAAACAAGAACGUAUGCGCAUGGAGAAGUGCCAAUCUCUAUCUUCCCUAUGGUGGAACGUCCUUGGAUACCCGUCAUGCUAG
rnacentral:rRNA from 1 species